rnacentral:tRNA from 1 species
CCAUAUCGAUGCGAUAGGUCACGUUUGGUUCUCUUUGGGAUGAUAAAUGACCUACUUAACUCAGUGGUUAGA